UGACCCAGCCAUGCCGCGUGCGGGAUGAAGGCCCUAUGGGUCGUAAACCGCUUUUACAGAGGAAGAAAAAGUCCCACUUGUGGGAUCGUGACGGUACUCUGCGAAUAAGCACCGGCUAACUCCGUGCCAGCAGCCGCGGUAAUACGGAGGGUGCGAGCGUUAUCCGGAAUCACUGGGUUUAAAGGGUGCGCAGGCGGCCAAUUAAGUCAGGAGUGAAAGACCCCCGCUCAACGGGGGAGUUGCUCUUGAUACUGGUUGGCUCGGAUUAKGAUGAGGUCGGCGGWAUGUGACAUGUAKCGSUGAAAUGCAUAGAUAUGWCAUSGUAACACCAAUUGCGUWGGCASCCGSCUGGACCUAUAUCGACGCUGAGGCACGAAAGCGUGGGGAGCGAACAGGAUUAGAUACCCUGGUAGUCCACGCCCUAAACGAUGUUGGCUCGGUAUCCGGCUUUAAGUUGGGUGCCCAAGGGAAACCGAUAAG
rnacentral:rRNA from 1 species